GGCUGCACGGUGGUGCAGUGGGUAGCACUGUUGCCUCACAGCAAGAAGGUUGUGAGUUCGAAUCUCGGCUUGCGGCCU
rnacentral:tRNA from 1 species